CGCACAUAAAUACGCCCGCGGCCAUCGCGGCUCGGCAGGCCCGACUACCCAUAGCCAGCAGCCCACUGUUCCGUGGUGAGAUCCCAGCGGCGGCGGCGCCGCCCCCGUCGAGUCCUCCUCAUCCGGUCCGGCCGUCGUCCUCCCCCCCGGUCGCGCGAUGAGGUGGAGUGCCGCCGCUGCCGCCGUAUCCGCCGCGGCCACCGCCGCCGCGUCAGCCGCGUGCUCCUCCACCACGGGGUCCUCGGCGCCAAGCGAGGAGGACGCCGGCAGCAGGAGGCGCCGCGGCGCCGCGGCGGCGGAUGAGAGGUUCGCGCCGCGGUUCGACGGGCUGCGCUUCAUCGAGACCCUCGUCACGGCGCACCGCUGACGGACCGGCGCGCAAGCCCCUGGCGGUCGGCGGCAACCUGCGGGUUGUGAUUGGUGGUCCAGGUCGCCGGAGCAUUUGGUAGCUAGUAGCCGGUAACCAGCUGACAUCGCCGUCGCCGUUCACCUUGUAGUUGUUGGUUAACAAAGGCUACUCAGGCAGAAUGAGGUACUGCUACUUCUAAUUAAAUGUUUAAACUAUCGUCAGGUCGGUGCUACGCUUUCUUUUAGUACUGUUCAAGAUUCAGUUCGCGCUGAGCUGGUUGUUCACCCGUCAA